GUAAUCGCGGAUCAGAAUGCCGCGGUGAAUACGUUCCCGGGUCUUGUACACACCGCCCGUCACACCAUGGGAGUCGGAAAUGCCCGAAGUCUGUGACCCAACCUUAGGGAGGGAGCAGCCGAAGGCAGGUCGGAUGACUGGGGUGAAGUCGUAACAAGGUAUC
rnacentral:rRNA from 1 species